AGCGAACGCUGGCGGCAGGCCUAACACAUGCAAGUCGAACGGAUCCUUCGGGAUUAGUGGCUGACGGGUGAGUAACACGUGGGAACGUGCCCUUUGGUUCGGAACAACUCAGGGAAACUUGAGCUAAUACCGGAUGUGCCCUUCGGGGGAAAGAUUUAUCGCCAUUGGAGCGGCCCGCGUCUGAUUAGCUAGUUGGUGAGGUAACGGCCCACCAAGGCGACGAUCAGUAGCUGGUCUGAGAGGAUGAUCAGCCACACUGGGACUGAGACACGGCCCAGACUCAGGCGGGGGGGAGGGGUGGGGAACGUGGCGAAGGGGGAGAGGGCCUGAGGCAUCCAUGCGGAGAGAAGAAGGAUGAUUUAAGGAUUGAAAAUGUCUGGCAGAGGGGACGAGAACGACGGUACACACAGAAGAAGCGCCGGCUAACUGCGAGCAGGCGGCCGGGGUAAUAGGGGGAAGAGCAAGCGGCCGAAC
rnacentral:rRNA from 1 species